GGGAGCGUAGUCUAAUGGUAGGAUACUGUGCGAUGGAUCACUUCAUUCGCUUGUGUGAUCCAUCUCUCACAGUGAUAUUGGUUCAAGUCCAGUCGCAUCCA